UGGGGAAUAUUGGACAAUGGGGGAAACCCUGAUCCAGCAAUGCCGCGUGUGUGAUGAAGGCCUUCGGGUUGUAAAGCACUUUUGUCAGGGACGAUGAUGACGGUACCUGACGAAUAAGCUCCGGCUAACUUCGUGCCAGCAGCCGCGGUAAUACGAGGGGAGCUAGCGUUGUUCGGAAUUACUGGGCGUAAAGGGCGUGUAGGCGGUACCAUAAGUCAGAUGUGAAAGCCCUAGGCUUAACCUAGGAGGUGCAUUUGAUACUGUGGAACUAGAGAUCUAGAGAGGAAAGUGGAAUUACGAGUGUAGAGGUGAAAUUCGUAGAUAUUCGUAAGAACACCAGUGGCGAAGGCGACUUUCUGGCUAGAUACUGACGCUAAGGCGCGAAAGCGUGGGGAGCAAACAGG
rnacentral:rRNA from 1 species